rnacentral:rRNA from 1 species
CGUAGGGUGCGAGCGUUAAUCGGAAUUACUGGGCGUAAAGCGUGCGCAGGCGGUUUUGUAAGACAGAUGUGAAAUCCCCGGGCUCAACCUGGGACCUGCAUUUGUGACUGCAAGGCUAGAGUACGGUAGAGGGGGAUGGAAUUCCGCGUGUAGCAGUGAAAUGCGUAGAUAUGCGGAGGAACACCGAUGGCGAAGGCAAUCCCCUGGACCUGUACUGACGCUCAUGCACGAAAGCGUGGGAGCAAACAGGAUUAGAUACCCUGGUAGUCCACGCCCUAAACGAUGUCAACUGGUUGUUGGGUCUUUACUGACUCAGUAACGAAGCUAACGCGUGAAGUUGACCGCCUGGGGAGUACGGCCGCAAGGUUG